GCCGAAGUGGCGGAACUGGCAGACGCGCGCGACUCAAAAUCGCGUUCCUUCGGGAGUGUGGGUUCGACUCCCACCUUCGGCA
rnacentral:tRNA from 3 species